rnacentral:rRNA from 1 species
AGAGUUUGAUCCUGGCUCAGGAUGAACGCUAGCGGCAGGCCUAACACAUGCAAGUCGAGGGGUAAGGCUCUUUCGAGAGUACACGACCGGCGCACGGGUGAGUAUCGCGUAUGCAACCUACCUCAAACAGGGAGAUAGCCCAGAGAAAUUUGGAUUAAUAUCCCAUAAUAUCUUGGAUUCGCAUGUUUCCAAGAUUAAAGCUCCGGCGGUUUGAGAUGGGCAUGCGUGUCAUUAGCUUGUUGGUGAGGUAACGGCUCACCAAGGCUGCGAUGACUAGGGGGUCUUAAAGGAUGGUCCCCCACACUGGUACUGAGACACGGACCAGACUCCUACGGGAGGCAGCAGUGAGGAAUAUUGGGCAAUGGACGCAAGUCUGACCCAGCCAUGCCGCGUGCAGGAUUGACGGCUCUAGUAGUUGUAAACUGCUUUUCUGCAGGAAGAAACCCUCGGACGUGUCCGAGGUUGCCGGUACUGCAGGAAUAAGCAUCGGCUAACUCCGUGCAGCCGCGGUAAUACGGAGGAUGCAAGCGUUAUCCGGAUUCAUUAGGUUUAAAGGGUGCGUAGGCGGAACAAUAAGUCAGUGGUGAAAUCUUGCCGCUCAACGGUAAAAUUGCCAUUGAAACUGUUGUUCUUGAGUAUAGUUGAGGUGGGCGGAACGUGUAGUGUAGCGGUGAAAUGCUUAGAUAUUACACAGAACACCGAUUGCGAAGGCAGCUCACUAAACUAUCACUGACGCUGAUGCACGAAGGCGUGGGGAGCGAACAGGAUUAGAUACCCUGGUAGUCCACGCUGUAAACGAUGAUCACUCGCUGUUGGCAAUACAUCGUCAGCGGCUGAGCUAAAGUAUUAAGUGAUCCACCUGGGGAGUACGUCGGCAACGAUGAAACUCAAAGGAAUUGACGGGGGCCGCACAAGCGGAGGAACAUGUGGUUUAAUUCGAUGAUACGCGAGGAACCUUACCUGGGCUUAAAUGCAGAACGAUUUACCGGGAAACUGGUAUUCCCUUCGGGGCGGACUGCAAGGUGCUGCAUGGUUGUCGUCAGCUCGUGCCGUGAGGUGUCGGGUUAAGUCCCAUAACGAGCGCAACCCUUAUCGUUAGUUGCCAGCGGGUAAUGCCGGGGACUCUAACGAGACUGCCAUCGUAAGGUGGAGGAAGGUGGGGAUGACGUCAAAUCAGCACGGCCCUUAUGUCCGGGGCUACACACGUGUUACAAUGGCCAGUACAAAGGGCAGCUACCUGGCGACAGGAUGCUAAUCUCAAAAACUGGUCUCAGUUCGGAUCGUAGUCUGCAGUUCGACUGCGUGAAGCUGGAUUCGCUAGUAAUCGUAUAUCAGCAAUGAUACGGUGAAUACGUUCCCGGGCCUUGUACACACCGCCCGCCAAGCCAUGGAAGCCGGGGGUGCCUGAAGUCCGUAACCGUAAGGAGCGGCCUAGGGUAAAACUGGUGACUGGGGCUAAGUCGUAACAAGGUA